CAUGAGGAUACCUGUCCUGACUCCCCAAGAUGGUUCCCACUGUCACCCAAGGUAGUUUGGGGGACAACUUGUCAUGCUGCAUACCCUUAUGUCACAGGAUCUGGUGAACAGGUCAUUCCUGGAGGUCGCAUUCAUUGCACUUCGAGUCUCUCGGGGGCUGACAUCCCACAGAAAAGUGAAGCAUUCUUCCUAGUUCCAUAGCUCUCCUUAUGUACUCUUGAAAGACCCCUGGAGCCUAUGUGGAAUAAAAUAGAGUGUAUAUAAUUAAAUAUUCCUUUUAUGAGUGUCACUAUUUUCUCAUUUUUUUCAGUAUUCGUUCCACUAACAUUUUUCGGAAUCUGGAGUCCACCCGUUGUUUGCUGGCUGGGCUUUUCCAGUGUCAGAAAGAAGGACCCAUCAUCAUCCACACUGAUGAAGCAGAUUCAGAAGUCUUGUAUCCCAACUACCAAAGCUGCUGGAGCCUGAGGCAGAGAACCAGAGGCCGGAGGCAGACUGCCUCUUUACAGCCAGGAAUCUCAGAGGAUUUGAAAAAGGUGAAGGACAGGAUGGGCAUUGACAGUAGUGAUAAAGUGGACUUCUUCAUCCUCCUGGACAACGUGGCUGCCGAGCAGGAGAAGAUGGGCUCCUGCAGGUUCCAUGGAAGCUGAUCAGCUGCCAAAAUCAGUAGGUGAG
rnacentral:sRNA from 1 species